rnacentral:rRNA from 1 species
UACGUAGGGUGCGAGCGUUAAUCGGAAUUACUGGGCGUAAAGCGUGCGCAGGCGGCUUUGCAAGACAGAUGUGAAAUCCCCGGGCUCAACCUGGGAACUGCAUUUGUGACUGCAAGGCUAGAGUACGGCAGAGGGGGAUGGAAUUCCGCGUGUAGCAGUGAAAUGCGUAGAGAUGCGGAGGAACACCGAUGGCGAAGGCAGCCCCCUGGGAUAACACUGACGCUCAUGCACGAAAGCGUGGGGAGCAAACAGGAUUAGAAACCCUGGUAGU